CAAGAUGACGCUCCACUUCACCCUCGCCGCCGCCGGCGCCGCCCUCCCACGCGCCCUCGCCGACGCCAUCCCGUUCGCCUCCGCCAGGAUCCAGGAGAUCCUCUCCCGCCUCCCCGUCCCGGCCGGCUCCCCCGCCGCCGCGGCCGUGCGCUCCACCCUCGCCGCAUGCGAGGCCGCGCCGGUCCCCGGUGUGGAGGCCCUGCGCUGCGUCACCUCCCCAGACUCCAUGGCCGACCUCGCCGCCUCCAUCCUCGGCACCCGGAACAUCCGCGCGGCGGCGACCAAGCUCACCAGCACGGAAGGCGCGACGACGAGGCAGGAGUACACGAUGGUGUCCGUCAGGCCCCUGCCGGUGGCCGGCGGCGACAUGGUUGCCUGCCACCGUAUGCCCUAUCCGUACGCCGUGUUCGCGUGCCACGCAACCACCGCCGCCGUGUACGCGGUGAGCCUCGCCGGCGCCGACGGGACGACGGCCAAGGGGGAGGCCCUGGCGGCGUGCCACGCGGACGCGUUCCCGGGUAUCUCGCAGUCGGCGUACGAGAAGCUCGGCGUG
rnacentral:lncRNA from 1 species